rnacentral:rRNA from 1 species
CGGGGGAACUGCGGAGGACAUUA